AAUUUGUUCUCGCCUCGUCUCGGAUAUUUGCUGGUUGUAGUCUGUGAGUUUGUUACCUCUCCUGUUGUUUCCGGCGGUGCGGUGGCUUUCGUGCGACGCGGGAACGUUCGGCGUUCCUUUGCAGCCUGUUGACAAACAUUUGAUAGAACACCUGUUUAGAUCGCAGCUCAUCAAAAAUUUUAUAAAUUUUUUUUGUGAUAUAUUUUCCUGUUAGCAUUACGGCUUUGACCGCGUCCCCGGUAGAGGAAUCUUUAUACAUAUCGACAAUUGUAUAAUAAAACAUCUCUA